UCGGACUGUAGUUGUUGAAGUAGUAGUGGUAGUUGAAGGUGUCAUGGUCAACAAUUUAAUCGGUGGUGUAAAUCCUCCACCUCCUGCUGAUAAUAACGAUGGUGACAAAGUCCUUUCAUCCAGAGAAAUGCUUGGAUUAGCGUAUUCACUUGUGUACCUUGGUAUACACCCAAGAAUAGCCAAGUGACACCGAGGGCGAAUGCACAUUUUUUUACCUCUUAUACAGUAACAAUAUUCACAAUAAGAUGAUGACAUGACUGCGGAUCCUUCAGCGUACAGGGUUGAAUUUAGGUAACAAUCUGUUGGCAAUUAGAUGGAAAAUUGAACGAGAUUAACGUUAAUAGUACUUUGGAAAUGGUUGCGGAGAUUCAUCUUCAUGUUGGUGUUGCUUUUUUGGUGAUUUUUGCUUAACUAACGGUUCAACCCACUAAUCAGAAGGUCGUUGAAUCACAAUAUUUACAUUUCUUUUGUCUGGAAAUUACCAUGAGUGAUUAUCAAGGUGGAAAAAGCUCAAGAAAUUGAUGGUAAAGUUAUUGAUAGUCGAUCAAGAAAAAAAAAGGUUAUGGAUUUUAAAUCUUAAUGAGAUGGGCGAUCCUGAUGAUUGACGGUUUUCUGUUUCCUUCUUCAUCUCUCCUACACCUGAAUAAUUACCUGUUGAUGUCCAUCAGCUCAUUACUAACAAAAAUCUUCUGAUGUUGUUCUUUUCUACAAUUACUAGUUUUUACACAAUUUUUUUCAUGCUUCUGACGGAGAGAGAGAGAGAGUAUUUAACAAGCCAAAUGAUUGAUGGUUAGCAAACUGGGAGGAGAUAAAGUGGUAAUGAUGGAGAUGAAAGGUAUGAUGAUAAUGAAGAUUGGACCAUUUGAAGAAAGCAAAAACCUCCAUAAUAAUAAUAUCUCAUCUCCACUUAACCGCAAAGUUUAUUAAGGAAUCACCACCACCACCAUCAUCAUCAUCAUUCAACAUGAACAGUUAAACAUCAUCUUCAAGCUUUAGAUUACAAAGGUUACUUUUCAUCACCAAAUUGUAAUUUAAGAAUCACCCUGGUUAAUGGUUAGUUUUUCCACCUUUCAACAUACUCUCAAAUCAAAGACCUCUAUGUAACCACCUCUACCUGAUUAGUAGGAACAAUUUAAUUCCGUUAUCAUCUUUCACUUUUCUAAUGGAGAUUCUUGAUUCCUUCAUGGAGUAAUUGUUGGAAAAUAUUAUUACAUUUGAAUAACUUGAUAUAUGAACACAAAAAAAGGGAAUAGACUUGAAAUGUGUUGAACUUCCGUAUGACCUGAUUAACUUGAUCAACAAUCCAUUUUAUUACUGACCACUAACCUUACAGAGAAAACUGUUAAAUUGUUAAUUCUUUUCCUUAUUACUAAUUUUCUAUUUCUCAAUUACAA